ensembl:lncRNA
GUGAGGUAGUGGUAGAGUGAGGUAGUGGUAGAGUGGUAUAGUGUGGUAGUGGUAGAGUGAGGUGGUGGUAGAGUGAGGCAGUGGUAGAGUGAGGUAGUGGUAUAGUGUGGUAGUGGUAGAGUGAGGUAGUGGUAGAGUGAGGUAGUGGUAGAGUGAGGUAGUGGUAGAGUGGUAUACUAUGGUAGUGGUAGAGUGAGGCAGUGGUAGAGUGAGGUAGUGGUAGAGUGAGGUAGUGGUCAAGUGGUAUAGUGUGGUAGUGGUAUAGUGUGGUAGAGUGAGGUAGUGGUAGAGUGAGGUAGAGGUAGAGUGAGGUAGAGGUAGAGUGAGGUAGUGGUAGAGUGAGGUAGUGGUAGAUUGAGGUAGUGGUAGAGUGGUAUAGUGUGGUAGUGGUAUAGUGUGGUAGAGUGAGGUAGUGGUAGAGUGAGGUAGAGGUAGAGUGAGGUAGUGGUAGAGUCAGGUAGUGGUAGAUUGAGGUAGUGGUAGAGUGGUAUAGUGUGGUAGUGGUAGAGUGAGG